rnacentral:lncRNA from 1 species
GCGCUCUUCAUACGUUUCCCAAGGGUUUUUAAACCGUGGACCGAAAGCUCCAGGAUUAUCAACGUGAUGCGCAGGAUACUUCGCGUCCAAGGAUUUCGCUCCGGGGCUCGACGGCCCAGUGCCUGUUGUUUUCUCAUCAGGUGCCAUAGAAUUUCCGUCGCAAACGCUGCUCAAGUAUUGAGGGAGCAGGCUUAUCUGAUAUUGUCCAGUAACGUUAUUGCCCCAUUCCAGUGUUGCAAAGUAAGGACAUCGCCUUAGCAAUUUGCAUUUGUGUUUGUAAACAAGUAAUUGCAUGCAAUCGAUUGUGGAGCCUAAAACUAGUGCUUAAACGCUGCAACGCUCUACUUGUCGGUUGUCGCUCCGCGCCGCGAUAUUGUGUGAAUGCAUUUUAUCAGCAGAUGGUCAGGAUCACAAGGAAAUUAGUCGGUGUUCCCUUGCUUUACUAAGCAUCUUUGUAAAGUGCAACAAGGACACCUACCAACGGAUCAGCGGUUGGCCAACUUCAGUGAGACACUAGAAUGCAGGUGGGUCCGCAAUCUGUGUGCACAGACAGCAUGGUAUGUCGGCAUCUGUAUGAUAUACAAUCCUCAUCUAUAGGAAAUAUAGUUGACUAUGGGUGCUCUUCGUAGGCUUCUCCAACGGUUGGACUUGUUGCGAUUGCAAACGUCUUCGGUUCUUACGCCGUUCACUUUUCACGUUUCUAACGUCGUUGGAUAAGGAUGUAUGUGAUGCAUAUCAUGUCACUCGAAUUUCUCAGAUACUUCACCACGCCCUCAGUUCCUACUCGAAUAUCCCACUCGACAGUCAGAGAAGGGUUUUGUGAGGGGCAAUCUAUAUGCAGGAGCUUAAGAAUGCUCCGUCGUUCGUAACUGAAAUUCAGUUGGGACUUAAAUGGGCCAGUUUACAGCCAAUAAUUACAAACAGGGAAGCGAAGCCCGCAGAGCAAUUGCCGAGACCCGAUUCCAUGUCGGAUCACCUCGUCGAGCUCAUGUGUACACAGCAUCCACGCAACACAAGCAACUUAGAUGUGCGAGUCCUAGGGCAGAGUGCAAACCUAGUGCGGAAUGCACUAAGUAGGCCCCACAACAACAUUCAAAUCGUUCCAUAAUCGGUAGAGAUAGUCCUAUAAUGCUAUGAAGGAAAGCCUAAUAAUGCUAUAACCAGAUCACCUGCUGGUAGCUAUCUAACUAAUGACCAGACGCGAGAGUGUCGUAGGGUCAGGUUAAUCACGUUGUCCACGUCUGACCGCGUCUACCGUUCAGACUGUUUGUCGUCUCCAAGGCAGCCAGCGUAAAAGCCUUGACACCGUCUCAUUUCGAGUCGCCAUUAAUCAAGUCAGCGGUGGCAAACCAGCUUUGCGCACCUCCAAGUGCAGGAGCUGCUUUGCAUGCACUUCAAGAGCGGAAUACUAAACCCUGCGGUAAAUCACUGCAACCUAUUCGUCACCCCACUGGAUUCUACACGCAAAAAGUCCAACCUGCUGUCCUCUGUCGGUUGUAAUCCCGGCAAAGCUCCUCGCUAUCACACGGAUAACACAUCAGGGCACACCAUCAAAGGAGUGGCCCGUGUUCAACGUAUCAGGCGUAGCAAGAGGCAGGAGCCGACUAUGAGAAGUACAGGCCCUGGAUGAGCUGCUGCAACUGCGCCGGAUCUGUAUAUGGUGCCUGGGUCGAAGGUGAUGCCAACUCUACCGCCUGCAAUUCUGAGCAGGCAUGCAGCAAGCCGCGAAAUUGUUCCUGCUGCUGAAAUUGGUGUUGUAGCUGCUGCUGGUAGACGAGUGGCAACGCAAGCCCCUCCAUGCCGAAUUUCUGUGCCGUGGCCAAGUAUGCAGCCUCCAAAUCAGUGUUGGGUCCGGGCAGC